UGCAGAGGGGGCAAGCGUUGUUCGGAAUUACUGGGCGUAAAGGGCGCGUAGGCGGCCUUCUAAGUCAGACGUGAAAUCCCCGGGCUCAACCCGGGAACUGCGUCUGAUACUGGAAGGCUUGAAUCCGGGAGAGGGAUGUGGAAUUCCAGGUGUAGCGGUGAAAUGCGUAGAUAUCAGGAGGAACACCGGUGGCGAAGGCGGGUCUCUGGGCCGAUACUGACGCUGAGGAGCGAAAGCGUGGGGAGCGAACAGG
rnacentral:rRNA from 1 species